CAAAUGUGGCGGGACAUCAAUUCAUCGAGGCGGAUGUGCUGAGGCCGCCCUGUGAGAGAGGAAACGCAAGCGCUCAGCACUUACUGUUUCAAGAAAGAAGUUCUGUCCAGCAGCGCGGAGUCAUCCCCAUGGGAUCGGGGAGCCGGCAGGGAGGUCACUCUCGUUCCCUCUGACAGAGGCGGCUUGGACGGUGGCCGCGGGCUUCAGUGGAACCUGAAGUCAGCAGAGUUGCUCUUGGGUGCCUUCCCACUUUACUGGCUCACAUCCACUCCGCUCCCAGCUCCACCAGGAAGCUUCUACCCAAGGCCCUGCUCAUCCCCCUGCUCAGGGACACUUAGGAGCCUUUAAUCUGCGCCAGACGCUGUCAGACUGCGGUGGUGGUUUUGACCCUCGACAAGGAAGAAGGUUGUCUUCCUAUUCCCAUUCUACAGCCACUGCCACUUUGCACCCAAGAGAAGACACAUGACCCUGGCCAAGGCAAAGGAGAUCAGCAGUUCGGGAAUUUUUUUUUAACUGGGAUCAGCCGCACUUGGUGGAAAAUAACAAAAAUCACGCCAAUGCAGAGUUUGUGCAGAACCCAGAAAUGCCUACGAUAUGCAAAGAGUAGGAGACUGUAUUCACCGAAGAGAUGGGAGCUAACUGCUCCUACAUGCUCCCUUUGCCUGGGAGGGUAAGGCUGUCCUGCUCUACAGAAAUGUCUGUGCGUCCAGAAGUCCAGCAGAAGGAAGGAAGGAGAGGAAAUGGAGCCCAGCUUCAGGAGCCUUGCGUUCCAGGAUGGUGCUGAGCGAGGAGACGAGGGCUUUCUGCCCAUCAGCAAGCUGUUUGGGGAUAGAUGGUGGAUGUGAUGGCUGGAGUUCCAGCAGCCACUUUGGACCAUGAGGCAACUCUAGGAAUAGAAUCCAACAGAAGAAUUAGAUGCAAGAAAUCUAAAUUCUGACAUCCUGACAUCACACAAGUGACUAAACCUAUAUCCUGGUACAUGGGAUGCAAAGGGCUGUCUGCAGUCAGAGGGAAGAGCCCAGGAGCAGGAGGCAUUUGAACAUGGCCUUAAAGAUGGGAAGAGUAAGUGACAUACUCAGGCAUGGUGACAAAGAGCUUCAUGGAUAUUAUUUCACAUGAUGCCCUGGGAACCCAGCAGAACAGACGCGUCCCGUCCUUAUUAUACUGGGCAGGGAACUGCCGCUCAGAGGGAGUGAGUAUUACCCCACAGCACUCAGCAGGGCUGGAUUUGGACUUGGGCACUCUGGCUCCACAGUCCUCCUCCUGUGGCUCUGCAGGCUGAGGAUCAGGGCUCAGGCAACAGGAAGAACAGGAGCAAAGUGCCAGGGGUCUGGUCUGGAGCUUAGGGCUCACAUCCAGGAGUGGGGAGCUUGUUAAAGCCCAUGAGGGCAAUGGGGGCGCCACAAUCAGUGCCUGCUGGACAGGUGCCCCCACUAGUUCUCCAGCCCUUCAGGGUUUCUCUGUGUUCUCUGUGGCCAGACCCAGAGAAGGGAUAGAUGACCAAGCUUGGAAUUUAGAGGGGGUUUCCUGUGGCUGUGGUAGCAAAUGGCCACAAACUUGGGGCUUAAUACAACACAUAUUUAUUUUCUCAUGUCCUGGAGGUCAGGAGGCAGAGCAGGAGGCAGAGUCUGGAUGAGAGCCCCACCCCCACCCCUUCCAG